rnacentral:rRNA from 1 species
CCCGGCACAAGCGGAGGAGCAUGUGGUUUAAUUCGAUGAUACGCGAGGAACCUUACCUGGGCUCGAACGUAAGAUGACUGUAGGUGAAAGCUUACAUCUCUUCGGAGCAUUUUACGAGGUGCUGCAUGGUUGUCGUCAGCUCGUGCCGUGAGGUGUCGGGUUAAGUCCCAUAACGAGCGCAACCCUACCUUUAGUUGCCAUCAGGUAAUGCUGGGGACUCUAAAGGAACUGCCUACGCAAGUAGUGAGGAAGGCGGGGAUGACGUCAAAUCAGCACGGCCCUUACGUCCAGGGCUACACACGUGCUACAAUGGCCGAUACAGAGGGCAGCUACCUGGUGACAGGAUGCAAAUCUCCAAAGUCGGUCUCAGUUCGGAUCGGAGUCUGCAACCCGACUCCGUGAAGUUGGAUUCGCUAGUAAUCGCGCAUCAGCCAUGGCGCGGUGAAUACGUUCCCGGGCCUU